rnacentral:rRNA from 1 species
AGUGAACGCUGGCGGUAUGCCUAACACAUGCAAGUCGAACGGCAGCACAGUAUGAUCUUGCUCUUACGGGUGGCGAGUGGCGGACGGGUGAGGAGUACAUCGGAAUCUACUUUUUCGUGGGGGAUAACGUAGGGAAACUGACGCUAAUACCGCAUACCACCUACGGGUGAAAUCAGGGGUUCUUGGUACCUUUCGCGAUUUCAUAAGCCGAUGUCGGAUUAGCUAGUUGGCUGGGUAAAGGCCCACCAAGGCGACGAUCCGUAGCUGGUCUGAGAGGAUGAUCAGCCACACUGGACCUGAGACACGGUCCAGACUCCUACGGGAGGCAGCAGUGGGGAAUAUUGGACAAUGGGCGCAAGCCUGAUCCAGCAAUACCGCGUGGGUGAAGAAGGCCUUCGGGUUGUAAAGCCCUUUUGUUGGGAAAGAAAAGCAGCAGGUUAAUACCCCGCUGUUCUGACGGUACCCAAAGAAUAAGCACCGGCUAACUUCGUG